UAAAGGGAAGGGCAUUCCUGCAAGGGAUGGUAGAUAAAGAGCUCCACACUUCUAGUUUCAAGCUGCUUUAUUCAGCAGUCCUGAGUGUUAUCUUACAGCUACUGCUUUUGCCAGCAUUUAGAGUGUGGGUUCCUUAGUUCGGCAUCCUUGCUUUGGGAAGGAGGAUUCUCCUCUGAGUGCUACAUUGAGUGCUGAUACAGAGAAGUUUUGGAGCCAUCCCAACAGUGAGCUUCACUGGAUGAAAGAUAUUGUGCAGUAGAUACAGAGAGGCCAGCUCACCUGUCGGCUACAAUACCAUCAGCUUCACUACACACCAGCUUUGAGCAUACUCCAGCAGCUUGGAAAAAGCACAACUACUUGGGAAAAUGCAGGUCAGAAAUGCCCCCCAAGAUGCCAAGAAAAUAGCACUUAUUUUGGCAAACACUUGUUUUGAAUAUAACCUUCCAACAGCUCUGUGAUCCUCCUGGCCCUUGUGUAGUCCAGGAGCUCUGGGCACCCUGAAAGAACGGGAAGUCUUUGAACCUCACUUCAUUGUUCACACUGCUGUUAUCAUGCCUGGUUUGCCCGUGCUGACAGAUGAUGGUUUUUGGCACAUACGAUAAUCCUAACUACUGUUCUUCACUUCAGUCCUGUCCUCAUUGCUCCUGAUGUAAGGGCCAGGUUGUCUGUGUGCCAC